AUACGUAGGUGGCUAGCGUUAUUCGGAAUUACUGGCGUAAAGGGUCCGUAGGGGGCCGACUAAGUCUGAUGUGAAAGGCCACAGCUCAACUGUGGGACGGCAUUGGAAACUGGUCGGCUAGAGUCGAGGAGAGGAAAGUGGAAUUCCUGGUGUAGCGGUGGAAUGCGUAGAUAUCAGGAGGAACACCAAAGGCGAAGGCAGCUUUCUGGCCUCGCACUGACCCUCAUGGACGAAAGCUGGGGGAGCAAACAGGAUUAGAAACCCCGGUAGUCC
rnacentral:rRNA from 1 species